rnacentral:rRNA from 1 species
GAUGAACGCUAGCUACAGGCUUAACACAUGCAAGUCGAGGGGAAACGACAUCGAAAGCUUGCCUUUGAUGGGCGUCGACCGGCGCACGGGUGAGUAAAGCGUAUCCAACCUGCCCACCACUUGGGGAUAACCUUGCGAAAGUAAGACUAAUACCCAAUGAUAUCUCUAGAAGACAUCUGAAAGAUAUUAAAGAUUUAUCGGUGAUGGAAGGGGAUGCGUCUGAUUAGCUUGUUGGCGGGGUAACGGCCCACCAAGGCAACGAUCAGUAGGAGUUCUGAGAGGAAGCUCCCCCACAUUGGAACUGAGCCACGGUCCAAACUCCUACGGGAGGAAGCAGUGAGGAAUAUUGGUCUAUGGACGAGAGUCUGAACCAGCCAAGUAGCGUGCAGGAAGCCGGCCCUAUGGGUUGUAAACUGCUUUUAGAAGGGAAUAAAGUGAGUCUCGUGAGACUUUUUGCAUGUACCUUAUGAAUAAGGACCGGCUAAUUCCGUG